AUGGACAAUGGGGAUGGAAUAGCUGUUGGAUGGUUAGGACAUCCCGUCUUUAGAGAUAAAGAAGGACGUGAGCUUUUUGUACGCCGUGUGCCUACUUUUUUUGAAACAUUUCCGGUUGUUUUGGUAGAUGAGGAGGGAAUUGUUAGAGCAGACAUUCCUUUUAGAAGAGCAGAAUCCAAAUAUAGUGUUGAACAAGUAGGUGUAACCGUGGAGUUCUAUGGUGGCGAACUUAAUGGAGUAAGUUAUUCUGAUCCUGCUACUAUAAAAAAAUAUGCGAGGCAUUCUCAAUUAGGGGGAAUUUUUGAAUUAGACCGGGCUACUUUGAAAUCUGAUGGUGUUUUUCGCAGCAGUCCAAGGGGUUGGUUCACUUUUGGUCAUGCUACCUUUGCUUUGCUCUUCUUUUUCGGGCACAUUUGGCAUGGCGCUAGAACAUUGUUCCGAGAUGUUUUUGCUGGUAUUGAUCUAGAUUUGGAUGCUCAAGUGGAAUUUGGAACAUUCCAAAAAGUGGGAGAUCCAACAACAAGGAAACAGGCUGUCUGA
rnacentral:rRNA from 1 species